rnacentral:rRNA from 1 species
GAUCAUGGCUCAGGAUGAACGCUAGCUACAGGCUUAACACAUGCAAGUCGAGGGGCAGCAUGAACUUAGCUUGCUAAGUUUGGUGGCGACCGGCGCACGGGUGAGUAACACGUAUCCAACCUGCCGAUGACUCGGGGAUAGCCUUUCGAAAGAAAAGAUUAAUACCCGAUGGCAUAGUUCUUCCGCAUGGUAGAACUAUUAAAGAAUUUCGGUCAUCGAUGGGGAUGCGUUCCAUUAGGUUUG